AGCAUAGCGAUUUGGGAUAAGUCCCUUGGAAAAGGGCAGCAUAGAGGGUGAUACUCCCGUCCUUGCCCAGGUUGUCUAUGUGUACGAUACGCUUUCUUUGAGUCGAGUUGUUUGGGAAUACAGCUCAAAGUAGGUGGUAAAUUCCAUCUAAAGCUAAAUAUUGGUGCGAGACCGAUAGCGAACAAGUACCGUGAGGGAAAGAUGAAAAGAACUUUGAAAAGAGAGUUAAAGAGUACCUGAAACUGUUGAAAGGGAACCGUAACAUGUCCAGUGUUGUAUCUUGUGCAUAUUUCAUUAGUGGAGUAAUUUACUGGUGCCCUGUGCAUAAGUGUGACGUCAAAGUCAGUUUGUAUGCUGCGGGAGAUGGUUAACAAGGAGGUGCGUCGCUUUUGUGUCAGUUAUACCUUGUUAUCUAGUAGCCGUGGUUGAGACUGAGGUGCC
rnacentral:rRNA from 2 species